ACCCACUUAUUUCAGUAAUGUGCCAGUAAAGUUUUGCUUUGUCAUAACAGCUGGUACUAUACAUCAUCUACAGUUAAAAGUUGUUGGGAACCAAUUGCUAUAUUGUGACUAAUUCCUGUGAGCUAUCUUAUGUUUCAUAGAUUGGUGUGACUCAUGCCUAAGACAUCCACAUGAUUAUACGGAUGACCACCACAUUCCUGAGGAGAAAUCAGCUAAAGGGGAGAAAGAGGAAAAGAAGCUGACAAGAAACAUGGAGACCUGGGCCAGUGAGGCCAGUGAUGAUGAACAGGAGAGAAAGAGGAAGGAGAUGAGCUGGGCAGAGCAGGUGGACCUUGCAUACACCCUGGAAGAGUAUUGGUGUGACUCAUGCUUAAGACAUCCACAUGAUUAUACGGAUGGCCACCAAAUUCCUGAGAUGAAAUCACUUAAAGGGGAGGAAGAGGAGAAGGUGUCCAUGGAUGACGCCCAGGUGCACUGGAACACAUUUGACUUCAGUGAGUGAAUAAUGAGAUCUUCUGCUUCAUAACAUUAUGUUUUGAAAAAUGUUGUGUGAUCUUAAUUGUUUACCAGAAUUUGUGAGGCACAACGUUACCUUUACUCAACCUGGACACACAGUGUACUGAUUAUAUCUGGCUACAGCUGAUGUCUUCAUUUCCCACAUCAUGUGAAUGUUAGAGUGGCUGGACUCAAGGCCACCAGGGUGGCUCCACAAGGCCCAGGAGGACAUGAGUGCCUCAGAACAGAUUCACAUCAUAUCAAGUCUGAUGGAUAUCGGUGAGUGCAAAAUAUUCUUUUUUUUCAGUUUUUUUGUGAAGACCUACAUAAAUAAUUGACUUUGAAAUGAAACUGAAGAAUGUCAUGAGAUUCAUUAAUUUGUGAUAUAUCUUUGUGUUUUUGUCUCACAGGAUGUAAUGCCAGCCCCUCUCUGUUCACAAGAUUCAUAGACAACAGAGACACUCUGGGAAGUUACCAGUAUGCCUACGCACCCGUUUUACCGGUCUUUUGAAAACACGAAGGGAAGGAGGAUGGAAUGGAUAGUUAACAUGUUGUGUAUUCACUUAGUCAAUCAUUCUUAAGUUAAGUCUUACCAACCCUACCUUUCUUGGGGGACAGACUGUCAGCCAGAUCUCUCCAGGCAUCUUUCUUUCUAGCGGGUUCCAUGUGUAGCCCAUUCUCUUGUGGUCAGUGCCAAGGUCACGGCGCCAGCUGUUUCGUGGCUUUCCUCUCUUUCUAUUUCUGUGAAGGUUCCCGGGCAGGGCUUGUUGGUUGGUGUUAUCUACAGCCUUGUGCAGGGUGUGACCGAUCCGGUACCAGCGUCUCCUCAUGAUACGUUUCAUUGGGUAGAGUCUGAUCUGUCUUCUACCAGCGGGACGUUGUUGCUCAUGGUGUUUGGCAAUUCUGAUGGAUUAAUGUAAGUGUUGACAAAUGUGUGAACUUUCUUGGUGGUGGUUAUUGUUGUCCUCCACAUCUCCACAGUGGGGUAGCCAGCCCCGCGCUAAACCCUCCACCAUUAGCAACUCCGCUUGGGACCGGCGUCAUCAAAUCAAUAUUUAAUUUUGUAUGUGUAAUAAAUAGCAGUUUUCCAAUCUUCA
ensembl:lncRNA